GUUUCAAUGUAACCAAUGUAAAACUAUUGUGUUUUAUAUGUUGGUCUUUUAAAAGUAAUGUUAAAAGUAGAAACAUUUAAAAGUUUGAAUAUGUAUUUUUAAUGGAAAACGAUUGAAUUAUCCUGAUUGAAGAAUUACCUAUAGGUAUUUUGUGGAUAGUUAAACAUGCAGAACACCAUUACUGUUCCUGAUAAAUGAACAUAACAGGAGGGUUAAAGGUUAGGAGAAGUUUAUAAAAUGUUUAUAACACAUUUUAAGCAAAUUCUAAGGAACAUAUUUUAGAUAUUAAUUAAAACAAAUAUAUGGUUUAGGUUUUAGUUCCUCUUAAAGACUAUUGAAGGGACAGUGUGUUAUUCAGUGUUAUUUAAGGAACAGGGAAAGGGAACUGUUAUCAUUUGAAACAUGAAACUGAGAUCACACUGAUAACAUUGUUUCCAUGAUGUGCAUGAUGUGCACGUCAAUCCCAAUGUUGUAAAACUCAUCAACUGAUGCAUUUAUUUCCUUUGACCUUUAGUAUGUCAUACUGCAGCACCAUGAGGGUCACCCUGCUUCAGCCUUUCAUCAUGUUGCUUGCAGUCUGUGCACGCACUCUUUCUGCACAGUCUCAGACCUCAAUGGCUGUCAGUGUGGGCUCCUCAGCUGUUCUGCACUGUAAUUGUAAACCCAUAGCCAGCAGUCAGCUAUCUGAACAAAGUCCUUAUAUCGAGUGGAGAACCAUCUCUGAGACGGUGUUUGAGAGGAGAGGUGCGGAGCAUUUUCAGGGGGAGGGGUAUGAAAAUCGGGUUGAUGUUCCUGAAGACGAACUGAAGAAAGGAAACUGUUCUCUGGUUAUAAAGAACAUCAGACCUGAAGAUGCUGGAGUUUAUGAGAGUUACCUGCAGGUGAAAAGAUCAAAGAGGUCCAUCCAGACUGAAUGGAAAUUCAUCCAGAGAGUGGAGCUCUCAGUAAAUGAUUCACCUGCACCUCCACAGCAGAACAACAAAGAAUAUGAAUCAGACGAGCAGGACACACCCAUGACAUCAAGUAGCGCAGGACUGAUCAGUGUUCCCUCACAGAUCCUAAUGUUCACCAUUCUCACAAACACACUACUGCGUAACACGUGAAAAAUGGCAAAGCACUUUAUAAAAUUCACUGUAAAUAGUGUAAAUAAAUGUAUAGUAGGAGAUACGGUUUUGUGCGAUGCUUUGAAAAUCCUCUCUGAUGGAUCGCCACCUUGCCGUGGUAGAGAGGCUUGUGAGAUCCAAAGAUCCCGAGAGCUAAACUGCCUGGAGCUUCUGCUCCUGUUAGAGUCACUCAGGACAGGUUUAGGGUUUAGGACUAGGAUCCAGACUAAGAGCGAUCUACAAAACAUUUUCAACAGCACAGAAACGCUAGAUACAGUAAUAAUGAUGGAUAUUAUACUGUGAAAUUAAGUGAAGGUCCCUAAAUGUUCAUCAGGCAAGUGGCAAGCUUUUCUCUUGAGUUAAUUUAAAAAUGCUUUAAAAUAUAUUUAAAUCCGUUCUUUAUAUUUUAAACAUGAUUUUGAUUUUUUAUAAGCAGGAUUUGUUUAGGCUCAUGUAAAAUGUGGAUAGGACUUAUAUACUACAAUGUAUACUAGUAGUAAGAAUUACAUAAAUAAUAUAAUUUCCGCCAACUUACCCAGAGUGUGACAGACGCCAAUAGAAAAGAAGCUGCCAAUGACAACAGACUAAACUCAGUUAUUAUAAAUUGGUUCACCUCAAAGAUCUCAGUUUAAAUGUUUAUGUGCCCACAAUCCAGCAUGUAUUCAGCAUUGAUCUGAAUUAGGGAUGCAACCAGAACCAGCCAGUAAAACAGUGUUCUGCCCAACCCUCCCCACUAACACCCAUACAAACUCUUUACUUUACACUGCAUCUAUCAGACUUCCCCAUAUUAUACAGCAUUCUGCCCUCCUGCACUUCCCACUUCCCUCUCAACUCAUUCCUUACCUGCACUUACUCAUAGUUAUUCUGUCACCUACUGGCAGUGUUGGGAAGUAACGGAUUACAUAUAACGGCGUUACGUAAUCAGAUUACAAAUUAUGAGUAACUGUAAUCCGUUACAGUUACUGCUUCAGUAAGUGGUAAUCAGAUUACAGUUACUCUGCUAAAAUAAAUGGAUUACAUUGCGGUACUUUCCUAUUUUUGGUCUUCCAAUUCAACACUGACAAAACGCAAUCACAUUCACAUAAAUCACAACAUCAGAAUAUUCUAUGAUUUACAACCUUCGAUCAGAAUGUUUUCACUGCAGAAGCGCCCCCUAGCCCUUCGGCGGGCCCGUUCUGACUAUGUAAAGUAGAAUGCUUAAAAGCGUCAAAUAUUCUAAACACACCGACCAAAUAACCGACUCAUAUUCUUUAGUACUAAUUUAACUACCUGCAUGCAAAUUUACAACCAUCUACAUGAAACCAGUCGCCAGAAAUCUCCAACUGAAAACAGCCUGUUUUUUCACAUUGUUUACACGAGAAACACGCCUCCCCAACAAAAUAGCCUUAUAAAAUAAUAUUAGUAUGUAAAAUAACAUCAGAUUACACUAUAGAAAAUUCACUUACUAUCAUAGCAUCCGCAAUACAGCACUGAACCGCAGAUAAAAUAUCCAUAAAGUCCUUUAUUCUCCUGCUCACUUCUCCUCACAAACAUGCGUUUAUUUUCAGCGCAGCUGAAACGUAAUAUUCUCAAACUCCUAGCGACCACGCAAUGUAAUAUUUUCACGUAAAGUUGUACGUGAAUACAAAGCUAAGGAUGUCCUCUUCUAGAUUCUGUGGUUUUCAUUGGUCCACAAACCACUGAGUGAUCGUCUUUUGAACCAAUAACGUGAGCAAUGGAUCAAUCCAAUCCAAUCAAAUGAGGUCAUAGCCUUUCUCCAGGGUCACAAAAGUGAUUGACACCUAUUUCAACCAAUAGUCCACCCUUAGAUGAAAACACUGGUACGUACUUUGCCCUGAUUGGUCUCCUAAUGGCUGGGGGCGGGGCAUGCCUAAGCGCUGUCAUCAAAAUCCCUCUGCUGAACAAAGGCGCUCCCACAGCGCGGAUACGUGUGAUUUUGUGUCAUUUCAUCAAAAAAAAUGUUAAUAUUACUCUGAAGUAGUUAUCACAAACAAACAAAAAAUAUUACAAACUCUGGCUGUAUAGAGACAGAUUUACUUGUGUAUCUUUGUAUUAGAUUAAAGGCACUCUGGAGAGGUUUUGAACACUUUGGAGACGCCUGGUGGACACCUAAUAUAAUGCAGUGUAACUCUUCAAUGCAUUGUGAUAUGUUUGUCAAGAUCCUACUGAAUCAGGAAAUGUAGAGAAUGAUUGACUAUUCAUCACCAACAUCCAUACACACAUUGUAAACUCUAAAUAUAACAGGCGCUUUUUUUUUUUUUUACAAU